rnacentral:rRNA from 1 species
UCCAGACUCCUACGGGAGGCAGCAGUGGGGAAUAUUGCACAAUGGGGGAAACCCUGAUGCAGCGGCGCCGCGUGAGUGAAGAAGUAUUUCGGUAUGUAAAGCUCUAUCAGCAGGGAAGAAAAAAGACGGUACCUGACUAAGAAGCCCCGGCUAACUACGUGCCAGCAGCCGCGGUAAUACGUAGGGGGCAAGCGUUAUCCGGAUUUACUGGGUGUAAAGGGAGCGUAGACGGCAAUACAAGUCGGAAGUGAAAUACCCGGGCGCAACCUGGGAACUGCUUUGGAGACUGUAUGGCUGGAGUGCUGGAGAGGUAAGCGGAAUUCCUAGUGUAGCGGUGAAAUGCGUAGAUAUUAGGAGGAACACCGGUGGCGAAGGCGGCUUACUGGACAGUAACUGACGUUGAGGCGCGAAAGCGUGGGGAGCAAACAGGAUUAGAUACCCGAGUACC